rnacentral:siRNA from 1 species
AGAAGCAGCCACCCUUGAA